UUUAUUGCUACGGUUUUAAAGAGUCACUUCUAGUCAAAGAGGGAAUUUCUUCUGGUUGUGUGACUAAAUGAUGCUUAAGCAGUAUGCCAAUGAGACAUUCAUUAUGCAAGGUGCUACAGCAAAGCACCCAAUGAUCUGUGAAGGAAAUAGAACUUCAUCUUUGGUAUUUUAAAAGUACUUUCCAAGACAGAUUAUAGCAGUUCACCACAAAGGGGAGAAAAAUAGUCUCAAGUAAUUUUAUAAGGCAAAAGAAUAGCAAGUAUGUACUAUCUUCACUCAAAACCACAUACGCUGCAUGCACUCUGAGUUUUUCCCCAAACAAAGAGUUCCUGACUAGGUAGAGAAAAGUUCUACAAAAUGCAUCAGCCAGAAGUACUGUGCUAAAUUGCCCAAUUACUCAUGCUCUCCAGAAACUUUCAAAAUGCAGUUCACACCACUUGCAGAACUUGUUAGUUCAUUUUCAAUUGCAAGGAACAACAAAGGAGUUUCUUUUUCCUAUUUUUGGGUGGUGAAAAAUGAGUAAGCUCAUAUACUAGAUAUGUAUCAUUAUCAUUUAUCUCUGAAGAGGGCCACAGCCAAUUAUAUUAUUUCCUGUGUUAUCUGCAGGGCAACAAAGAGAGGCAGGAGGAAAGUCAAGAUGGUGUUUGCACAGAGGCUGACCAUACUGAUACAGCACAGACCUCAGGCUUGGGGUCAGAGCUGUGGGAGGGGAUCAGGUGGAGAUGUGCAUGAGAGGCUCUUUGGGCUCAAUUCUCUCCCAACAGCUCAUCAAUCCAGAGGAGGCUGUAUCAUAAAGGAAGGUGAUGAAUUUUGGCAUCAGGUAUGUCUUCCCAAAACAUGGAUAUUAUCAAGUCACUCAACCUUAUGAGAGAAAGGGUAUGAUAAUACAUACUUCAUAAGGACUCCAUGAAGAUUGACAGAUUCAAUCCAGGUAACAGAAACAGUACAAUAUGUUGUACUUAACAGGUGCACAAUUAAGCUCCUUCAAAUCCUUCCUUUCAGGCUACAUGGCGGUUCCUGAUCAUUAAAUUGGGCCUGGUGAUCAUGCUGGGAUGCUAAAGAGCUGGGAACACUUUCCAAACCUUUGAGCCGCUCCAUGUAGAGUGACUAUUUCUGGGCUUCUCUGGAAUUAUCAGAGGCUCCAUUCCUGUAUAUCCACUAAACCUUCGGCCACGAAGCCCUGUGGAUUGUGACUAGCCUUCCCUUCGCUUCUUAUACACUUCAGAUUCUUCCUCUCAAAUGUAACUUGAAGUGUUUCUUCCCCAUUGCUACAAGACUUCUUUACGCAAAAAAGUACGUAUCUGAAGAUGGAGCAGCUUUCUGAAAAAAAAAUUGUUUAAGACUAAUGGGUGUUCAUUCUAAAAGGGCAAGGAUCAAAAAAAUAAUAAUUUUCAAAGCAAAACCAAUGCUCUUGCUCUGUCUCCAUCGAAGACACCUGGGGUUUGAUUUCUUCUUAAGGUUUUUUUUUUUUUUUUCAUUCCUUUGAAAUAUACAUGAGUGUGAUAGGUUUUCCCAUUUAAUCAGGAAUGGGUCUGAAACAAUGUAAAAGAAACCCAGCUUUGCCUGAGCUUUGCCAGACCUACAUCAUGGGAUCCUUUUACUAAAAUUUCUAUGUAAGAUGACUACAAGUUUGAUUUAGUAGAAAAAUUAAAUCAAGAUCAAAAGAAAAUAUUUUCCUGGUUGAACUGCUAACUAGCUUUCCAUCUUUGUCUGCUUCUUCUAGUUGAAUCCAUUGUUCUGUCCAGCCCCACUUGCAGGAAGAGCUCUUUCUCUUUCUUCACCAGAUCUCAGAAUCUUGAAGAGUUUCUAGCUGGAUCCUUGAUCUCAGUGCUUGUUUUUUUCUCUCUCUGCUUCCUUAUCCUUUAGUGAACCACAAACAAGUGGUUGUUUGCAACUUGUCUUCUAUGCCAUCACUGCCUGCUACAAGAAGCGCUCCUGAUUCCUUACUUCUGGGUGGGAGAUGUGGAUUCUAGUCACAUCGUUCCCCUGCCUGGUGCAUGGAUACAGUGAAACACAGCUGAUUAUUUCACCAAAACUCAAGAGCUAAGAAAGAUUUUAAUCCCAGAAGAGACUCAACUUGCUUAGCAGACCUUUGAAUUUAUAUUUUAAAAAUCUGAAUUGUCAAGGAUGAUGUAAUAAUGACUAUCUUAGAAACUGGGUGGGAAAUAAAUCUAGAUUUACUGGUUAAAUAUUAUCUCUGAUGUCCAGCAUUUUAUUUUGAAAGAGCUACCACCUACUGAGCACGUGCUAAGGACUUGGUGCUAAGGAUUUACUUAAUACAAAUCACCCUAUUUCUCACAAGGUAAGGCUGUUCGCAGAGGUUAACUAGGUAACAUGUCCAGUGUGUGGCCACUAGUAGGUUAAGUGCAUGUCUUUGAACCCAAACAAGCAUAUUCAGAAGCCCACACUCAAAUCCCCACACUAACACUUUCUAAAUUAACAAUGUGUCCACCUGUCCUUUAAGAGGUUGGAUAACCUUCAGGGUUGUUUCCCUGAACUAUAAGCUUGUGGAGGGCCUGGCUAAAACUCUCAUAGAUCUCAACUCAGGAAUAAGCACAAAGGAAUUUUGAAUAUAUGCUUUUUGAUUAGGAUGAUAAUAAUUAAAAAUAAAAUGGUAUGAAUGAUCAUAGGGAAUACUGAUUAGACCAAUUUAAUAAAAGCCCAUCACCACUCCUGUAAAGAUACAUUUUAGCAUCUCAAUGAUUUAACAGAAGAUUGCUAUAUUGCAAUACCCAGCUGCACAAAACCUAUUCUCAAGCAUGAUCAUUAUAAUCUCGUGCUUUAUUAAACAUCUGAAAG
rnacentral:lncRNA from 1 species